AAACAGACCUGGAAUUUGUUUUUUUAAAUAUUUAUUUAUUUUUAGUUUUCAGCAGACACAACAUCUUUGUUUGUAUGUGGUGCUGAGGAUCGAACCCGGGCCACACACAUGCCAGGCGAGCGMGCUACCACUUGAGCCACAUCUCCAGCCCCCAGACCUGGAAUUUAAAUGUUCUGUGAUGGUUGUUUGAAACCGAAAAUGCUGUCUGAGGCUAACUUUUUGAGCAGUUAGCUUCUGAAUUCAGCCCCGAAGUGAAGGCUUCAACUUCAAAUAUGGCAUUGAUGAAUUAUUGAAGAAAUUACAAUUGCAGCYGGUGUUUCUGCAAAGCAUUGUGAGGCAGCUAGCUUCUUCUCUAGCAGAUAUGGUUUCCAAACGCCUCAUGUGAUGUCCAGAGUUCAGAGUUAUUCACCUCUGAAUACUCACUCAGCAAUGAAGAAAGUUAUGUGGUCAGCAGAAAUAACUAUCUUGACGUAGCAAUUCAGGGAACAUCUAUUUUAAAUCUGUCCCUUGGAAAUUUCACGAAUGAUUUAUCAAAGUCAUAUAUGAUCUAUAACUGUUUCCUUGAGAUAAAUUCUUAGGGGUAGAAUGGCAGGAUCAGAGAGUAUAAAAAGUGUGAGACUUGUAGGAAAGACGGUGGAAUGAGAUGGACAUCAUUACCCUAAGUACAUGUAUGAAGACACAAAUGGCGUGAUUCUACUUUGUGUACAACCAGAGAAAUGAAAAAUUGUGCUCUAUAUGUGUACUAUGAAUUGAAAUGCAUUCUGCUGUCAUGUAUAAUGAAUUAAAAUAAGUAAAUAAAUA
rnacentral:lncRNA from 1 species